rnacentral:rRNA from 1 species
ACCCGGGUGCUUGCACCGGGGGAUUAGUGGCGAACGGGUGAGUAACACGUGAGUAACCUGCCCUUGACUCUGGGAUAAGCCUGGGAAACUGGGUCUAAUACCGGAUAUGACCUUCCAUCGCAUGGUGGUUGGUGGAAAGCUUUUGUGGUUUUGGAUGGACUCGCGGCCUAUCAGCUUGUUGGUGAGGUAAUGGCUCACCAAGGCGACGACGGGUAGCCGGCCUGAGAGGGUGACCGGCCACACUGGGACUGAGACACGGCCCAGACUCCUACGGGAGGCAGCAGUGGGGAAUAUUGCACAAUGGGCGCAAGCCUGAUGCAGCGACGCCGCGUGAGGGAUGACGGCCUUCGGGUUGUAAACCUCUUUCAGUAGGGAAGAAGCGAAAGUGACGGUACCUGCAGAAGAAGCGCCGGCUAACUACGUGCCAGCAGCCGCGGUAAUACGUAGGGCGCAAGCGUUAUCCGGAAUUAUUGGGCGUAAAGAGCUCGUAGGCGGUUUGUCGCGUCUGCCGUGAAAGUCCGGGGCUCAACUCCGGAUCUGCGGUGGGUACGGGCAGACUAGAGUGAUGUAGGGGAGACUGGAAUUCCUGGUGUAGCGGUGAAAUGCGCAGAUAUCAGGAGGAACACCGAUGGCGAAGGCAGGUCUCUGGGCAUUAACUGACGCUGAGGAGCGAAAGCAUGGGGAGCGAACAGGAUUAGAUACCCUGGUAGUCCAUGCCGUAAACGUUGGGCACUAGGUGUGGGGGACAUUCCACGUUUUCCGCGCCGUAGCUAACGCAUUAAGUGCCCCGCCUGGGGAGUACGGCCGCAAGGCUAAAACUCAAAGGAAUUGACGGGGGCCCGCACAAGCGGCGGAGCAUGCGGAUUAAUUCGAUGCAACGCGAAGAACCUUACCAAGGCUUGACAUGAACCGGAAAGACCUGGAAACAGGUGCCCCGCUUGCGGUCGGUUUACAGGUGGUGCAUGGUUGUCGUCAGCUCGUGUCGUGAGAUGUUGGGUUAAGUCCCGCAACGAGCGCAACCCUCGUUCUAUGUUGCCAGCACGUGAUGGUGGGGACUCAUAGGAGACUGCCGGGGUCAACUCGGAGGAAGGUGGGGACGACGUCAAAUCAUCAUGCCCCUUAUGUCUUGGGCUUCACGCAUGCUACAAUGGCCGGUACAAAGGGUUGCGAUACUGUGAGGUGGAGCUAAUCCCAAAAAGCCGGUCUCAGUUCGGAUUGGGGUCUGCAACUCGACCCCCAUGAAGUCGGAGUCGCCUAGUAAUCGCAGA